UAAAGCAAUAACUUCAUCACAUCCAAAUAAUCAGUGAGGAAACUAAAAUGAGUUGACAAUAAUCACUCCUUGCAUACUACUACUACUAGUAACAACGGUAACAAACAAGAAGUAAAUACAGUACUAAAUUAAACAAAAAAUAUUGUGUAAAAAAUAAAAUAAAAAAUGAAACAAAAAAAAAAAUUAACAAUAACAGCGAUUUAAUUAAUUCCAGUAUCACUAAGCUAACAGAUUGAGCCGUGUAGCCAAUAUCACCAACAUCAUCAACAAUAACAUAACAUGUUAACAAAUCAAAAAGCAAAACAACAAAAUAGGAAGAAGAAGAAGUACAGAAUCGCUGGUUGAGUACACCAUCUUUGACAUAAGAACAAACUAAGAAGACCCAUUUGUCGUAGAACAAAUCUGCAGUAAAAAAGGAAACAUUGUUGGAUCUCAUAAGNNNNNNNNNNNNNNNNNNNNNNNNNNNNNNNNNUAGUAGUAAUAAUAAUUUAAUUUAAUAAUAAAUGUGUGAAGAGAAAUAAAAUGAAUGGUUGGUGAAUGCUUUUUUGUUUGUGUGAGUACGGUUUGGGGUAUGACAUUGGGUUGGGUUGGGGUGUUAAUUUAGUUGAUAUUGUUAUGCUUUUGGGUUUGGCAUAAGAAAAAGCUUUAAUCUAAUCUAUUGUCGUAAUGGUUUGCUUUACUUUAGUUUGUGUAUUUGGAUGCCCCAGAAGACCAGAUUAGCUAGAUUUGCGCAAGCAACCUCUGUCGUCCUUUUCUUC
rnacentral:lncRNA from 1 species